rnacentral:misc_RNA from 1 species
UAAUAAGUGUUUUAUGGCACUUUUUAAAUCCAUAUACACCUUGUGUGCAAUGUCAGUCGGUUUUCUUUCUCGUCAAGAAAAAAAAGGAUCGACCAAACAUCAACUUAUUCUAAUUGAACUUUUGUCUGAAAACUAUUAUGAAUAAACUAAUUCAAAAUA